AAUAUGACACUGACAAAAAGGUUCAACAAUGUCGCAAAUUUGGUUAGAUUCAACUAGGUAUACCAUUUGUACCAAAUCAUAGGUGGAACAAGUAGAGAGAAGGGUAGUGGGCAGCUGCAGCAGGUAGAGAGGAGCGGUGCAGCCUCACCGAGUCACCGGCAAGACGGCCCUUGUCGCAGGUGGAAAAGGUUGGAAGGGGGGGA
rnacentral:lncRNA from 1 species